UUCAGAUCUGGCUGGAGGAUCGCUUGAGCUCAGGAGUUCUGGGCUGCAGUGCGCUACGCCGAUCGGGUGUCCGCACUAAGUUCGGCAUCAAUAUGAUGACCUCCCGGGAGCGGGGGACCACCAGGUUGCCUAAGGAGGGGUGAACCGGCCCAGGUCGGAAACGGAGCAGGUCAAAA